rnacentral:piRNA from 1 species
UACGGCUGGCUAAGUCUUUUGGACCU